GCCCUAAUCCAUUUUCCAAUUAUAAUGAUAAAGGCAAAGAACGAAUCAAUGUCUAUAUUACGAGAAGGACUUGUAGGUUUGAACCGCACCGGGAAGAUCCCGUAUCAUUUGGCCCUAAUCACCGCACCUCACGAAGAGUAUUACGUUGGUGAUCUUACCUACCCACCGCACCGGUAAAUCCGUAUCCUUUGGUGGUGUCCCCAUAUCCAUAAUUAGUUACAUACAGUGCACAUGUACGAAUUAAAACAAUACUUAUAUAGCAUGCUUUUAUAAUAAAUUCAAAUAAUCACACACGAGCUAACUAGCAAACACAAUCAUCAAUACAACGGUGUGAGAGAACUCACCUUGAGUGAGUAUUAAGGAUGGCUAACAAUCAAAUAAUGCUACCAAGCUUGAGCAAACUUCAAAACCUCACCUAAGAAGGACUAAAGGUUAGAAAGGAGAAGUAAUGAAGCUAUGAGUUGAGAAAAGAGUAAUCACAGCAAGGUCUCUAAAACAGACCUGCUGUUCAAAACGGAUUUACUCCAAAAUCUAAAACAGAAACAUAGCUUUAACUAAAUUUUAUAGGAAACUAUGAUUGCUCAGGAUUCCACAACUAUAAAGAACUCAUUCUAACUCCAAAAGAUGAAUUAAAUAUGAAUUUUACAAAAUGGUGUAUCACUUCUGUCUCCAACAAUACAGUCAAGUGAUGUUGGCCAAUUCUACCCAACUUGUGAGUAGAAUUCGUCCAAAAGAAAAUUAAGAGAAGUAAAGGACAUACAAGUGAAAGUCUCAGAGUUGGAAUUGAAUGAAAAGCAUCUCUCAAACUCCAGAUAUAAAAUUCACAUUGUGGACAAUCACAGCACUAGCAAAAGCUGGUGACUGCCCACUGACCUGGAGUGUGGAUCCAUUCUAACCAAUUUAUAAUUGGAAAUAACACCCCAUAUUCUCCAGAUCUUAAAUUCAUAAUAUAAGGAACAUAUAGAAACUUGGAAUCACUCUGGAUCCUUUUCCAAGCCUUAGAAAUGAUGAAAACAAAAUGACAUAUCAGAACAGACCCGGAUCAGACCUAACAGCAAAGAUGCCAUUCUUUCACAUAGAUAAAGCCCUUAUCAGUGAGGUUGGCCUUCUUAAGAAAGUUAGCCAACUCAAUUUGUGAACUUUUGGAACUGGUUUGGGGUCCGUUUGAGUUCUAGAGCUCCAGAUAUGAUUUUUACAAAAUGACUACAGAUCUGAUGGAAAACAGAAUCGUAGCCACCCGUGAUUCCUUUUUGGCUUAUCCAUCCUUCUCCUUUUGAAACACAUUUUAAGAUGUGUUCAUCAUCCCAAUUCAGUCCCCAUGAUAAUGGUGGUACUAAAAAGGGUUAGGGAUCAUUAGGAUUUCAUUUAGCCACAAGGAUGUAAUAAUAAUCAACAUGAAAAUAAACAUAAGCACAUAAAAUCAUCAUUCUCCCUUUUAGGGUUUCCAUGAUCUUUUGCCACAUGUAAUCCCCUAGAUCCAUCAUCCACCAUAUAUGGGGUGAAGAUAGGAUCUUGAGAUGAUGUAUAACAUACAAUUACAAAUAAAAUAAGAAGGAGAAGAGGUGAAGAUGAAAUCAUAAAACUAGAACAAGGUUAUGAAUCAAGUUGUAAGAAAGGAUAAGGAGGUUCAUACCAAUACGAAUCAAGGCUGGAAAUGAACAAGAAUUAAGCUCCAAACAGCCCCUUGGCUGCUCUUGAUCCCAAAGAGAGAGAGAGGGACGAUUUUUGAGAGAGAGGGAGGGUUUAGAGUGUUUUCCUUGUGUGUGUUCCAAAUGAUUCAAUUUACACAUUAAGUACUAUUAACUAGAUGGACUUUGCAAAUAGGCCCAUAGCCCAUGGACUUCAAUAAAAGGAGUUUACAAGAUGAUCAAAAGAGUCCAAUAACAUAAGAAAUCAGACAUUGGUUAAAUAAAUUAACCCAAGGUUACAAGGAUAAUUAAAUUAAAAUAACCAAACGUACCGAGAAAACCCGGGGCGUUACAACUCUCCCCCACUAAGAACGGACUUCGUCCUCGAAGUCAACACCUAGAAACAGAUCCGGAUAAUGAGCCCGCAUCUCGCAUUCCGGUUCCCAAGUCCAUUCCGAACCCUUCCUAUGUUGCCACUGCACCUUAACCAGGUUUAUAGUCUUGUUGCGGAGAGCUUUCGUCUUUCGUUCUAAAAUAGCGAUUGGUUUCUCAACAUAAUUGAGACGCUCGUCAAUUUGUAUGUCCUCCAGUGGUAUCACAGCGGUCUCAUCAACAACGCAUUUUCGUAACUGAGACACGUGGAACGUAUUAUGAAUUAGACUAAGCUCGUCAGGAAGCUCUAAACGGUAAGCCACCUUCCCCACACGAGCUAUGACCUUGUAGGGUCCAAUGAAUCGGGGUCCGAGCUUUCCCCGCUUCCGAAAUCGAAUCACACCUUUCCAGGGGGAGACUUUAAGCAACACAUAAUCUCCCACCUGGAACUCAAGAUUGGAGCGUCUUUUGUCAGCAUAACUUUUCUGACGACUGCUCGCUGUGACCAAAUGAUCCCAGAUCACUUGGAUUUUCUCCGUAGUCUGUAGCACGAUAUUAGUACUCCCAAGUACCCUCUGCCCAACCUCGCCCUAACAAACAGGCGUCCUGCACUUCCUCCCGUACAAGGCUUCAUACGGAGGCAUUUUAAUGCUCGAGUGAUAGCUGUUGUUAUAAGAAAACUCAGCUAGAUGUAGAUGGUCAUCCCAACUACCCCCAAAAUCAAUCGCACACGCCCUAAGCAUGUCCUCCAAGGUCUGAAUCGUCCGCUCACUCUGCCCGUCUGUCUGCGGAUGGAAGGCGGUACUAAAAUGUAAUCGUGUGCCCAAUUCCUCUUGAAACUUCCUCCAGAACCGAGAGGUAAAUCGGGUGUCUCGAUCGGAGACGAUAGAAACGGGCACCCCAUGUAAUGAGACAAUCUCCCGAACAAAGAUCUCGGCUAAUUUCCCCGCCGAUGAGCUCUCCUUUAUAGCGAGAAAGUGAGCACUCUUAGUCAAACGAUCAACAAUCACCCAUAUCGUAUCUGAUCCUCGGGCAGUUCUAGGAAGUUUUGUAAUGAAGUCCAUGGUUAGAUGCUCCCAUUUCCAUUCAGGAAUCUCCAAUGGUUGCAACUUCCCAUGCGGUUUCUGGUGUUCCGCCUUGACCUUCCGACAGGUCAUACAUUCUUCCACAAAUCGAGCCACAUCAUUCUUCAUUCCAUGCCACCAGUAAGCCUCAUGAAGGUCCCGAUACAUUUUAGUAGCACCAGGAUGGAUAGAAAAUUUUGACUUAUGAGACUCAUCCAUUAGGGUUUUCCGAUUUCCCCCGGUAUAUGGAACCCAAACCCUACCGUAGCGAGUCAGCAAACCCCGCCCGUCUCGUUCCAUCUUAGGCAACUCUUUUCCAAUCUUCUCACGCCUGAUGUUUUCCUCCAGUAUUGCCGUCUUUUGGGCGUCCCGGAUUAGAUCUAACAAAGACGACACCAUCGUGAUCCGGAGACACUUAGCUCGAAUCGGUUCGGCAGAUUGUUUACGACUGAGAGCAUCAGCUACCACAUUAGCUUUACCGGGGUGGUAGUGAAUUUCACAAUCAUAAUCUUUUACCACAUCCAACCAUCGGAUCUGCCUCAUAUUCAAAUCCCGCUGCUCGAACAAAUAUUUUAGACUCUUAUGGUCAGUGUAUAUGAUAAACUUCACUCCAUAGAGAUAGUGUCUCCAAAUCUUAAGAGCGAAAACAACAGCCCCAAGCUCCAAAUCAUGAGUGGGGUAGUUUCGUUCGUGGGGUUUCAGCUGUCGGGAGGCAUAGGCUAUCACCCUAUCUCGUUGCAUUAACACGGCACCAAGACCUUGAAGCGAUGCAUCACAGUAAACCACCAUAUCCUCAACCCCAUCAGGUAAGGCCAAAAUCGGAGCUUCACACAAUCGUUUCCUUAACUCAUCAAACGCCAGUUGCUGCUCCGGGCCCCAAACGAAUUUCAUUGAUUUCUUGGUCAAUCGGGUGAGUGGUAAGGCGAUUUUAGAGAAAUUUUCAAUGAACCUCCGGUAAUAACCGGCUAAACCCAAGAAACUGCGAAUUUCAGAAGGUGUUUUUGGAAUCUUCCAUUGUUUAACCGCAUUAACCUUGGCUUGAUCGACCUUAAUACCGUUUUCUCAAUGUCAGAGGGUGAGUACGGAAUGCUGUUUUCUCAAUGUCUUCUUCACGAACCCGCAUCUGAUGGUAACCGUAACGUAAAUCAAUCUUGGAAAACCAAGAUGCUCCCUGAAGCUGAUCGAAAAGAUCGUCAAUACGUGGCAACGGGUACCUAUUCUUUAUCGUGCGCUUGUUUAGCUCCCUAUAAUCAAUACACAUUCGCUGGGAUCCAUCUUUCUUCUUCACAAAGAGAAUAGGAGCACCCCAAGGCGAGCAGCUUGGCCGUAUAAACCCUUUAUCACUUAGUUCUUGAAGUUGAUCUUGGAGCUCUUUCAUUUCAGGUGGUGCCAAGCGGUAAGGAGAUUUCGCUACCGGAGUCGCACCUGGCACCAAAUCAAUGCGAAACUCCACUUGCCGAACAGGUGGCAAGCCAGGGAGUUCCUCCGGAAAGACAUCGCUGAAGUCGGAAACGAUAGGAACGUCGUCUAGUGCUAUAGCAGAAGAGCAAGAAGCCAUAGCCAGGCGGGGAAUGUCCCCCUGAAUAAUAAGUUCUCCACCUCUAGGGUUUCGAACACGAACUUGCUUCUUACGACAGUGGAUUUCCGCAUCAAACGCAUCAAGCCAAUCCAUGCCUACGAUAACGCAGAGCUCUCGCAUCGCAAUAGGGAUAAGAUCAAUAGGGAAUUCAACUCCAGAAAACUCGAGAGUGCAACCCCGAUAGACAUCGGUGACAUAAAUAGUGCGGUUGUCGACAACAUCGACAACCAUUGGGUGAGCCAAUUUUCCGAUACUACGCCCCAAACGAUUAAUAAACGUGUGAGAUACAAAAGAAUGGGUAGCACCGCUAUCAAACAUAACAACAUCGGGCUUGGAAUCUAGCAAAUAAGUGUCUGCCACUGUCGUUGUAAUCACCGGCUCCUCCACAGUCAUCUGGUGAGCACGACCUCGUGUCACCAUAAUGGUUCCCUUAGAGGAUGAUGCAAUUGCAGGAUUUGUACCCCUGUCUCCUUUACCAGUCUUCAACUUCGGGCAUUCAGGCUUCUUGUGUCCCGUCUCGUUGCAGUGAUAGCAGACGGGAANCAAUUCUAACUACCAUUUAUCAAAUAAUGGCAGGAGAGAAAAGAAAGAAAAAAAGAAAGAAAUUUACCUGCCACUGUCGCGGUAAUUACCGGCUCAUCCGCAGUCAUCUGGUGAGCACGACCUCGUGUCACCAUAGUAGGUCCCUUAGAAGACGAUGCAAUUGCAGGAUUUGUACCCCCGCUUCCUUUACUAGCCUUCAACUUCGGGCAUUCGGGCUUCUUGUGUCCCGUCUCGUUGCAGUGAUAGCAGACAGGAGCAGCAGAAGUAAUCUGAGGAACUGCACUCGCAGGGGGAGCCCUACAAUUCUUCCAAUGAUGCCCUGGCUUUUUACAGUUGUAGCAUAUCAACGGAUUUUUCUCGCCCUGACCUGAAGACGGCCUGUACUCAUACCUUGACUUACCACCCUGCUUUUGCUUUUUCUGGGCAUCUCCGGAUGUCUUGGAGGAGGUGUCAUUGGCCUUCCUCUUGGUCUGGGUCUGCAACUCGAUUUCCCUCCUCCUCGCUGCAUCCAUGAUCGCGGAUAAAGUCGGGAACUCCUGCAUGCUAACGAAUUCCCGAAUCUCGGUACGUAGAAUGGUAGUGUAUUGGCUGACCAACCAGGCCUCGUUCCCAGCAAAUGAGGGACAAAAAGAUAGCAUCUCCAAGAACUUGGCGUUCAGGUCGCUAACAGACUCGGUAGUUUGCUGUAAGGCCAUGAACUCUUGCUGCAUCCGCUGCUGCUCCACCUUGGGCACAUAUUGUGCCUCGAACCUCUCCACAAAUUGGGCCCAAGACAUGGCCCUCACUUCUUCCUCGUUUAAUAGAGCGGUGAUGGUGUUCCACCAUGUCUUUCCCCUUUUUCGCAGCUGAUUCAUGGCGAUCACAACUUUGUACUGGUCCGGACACCCAACAGUCAUGAAGGCGCCCUCAACAUCUGACACCCAAUGCUUAGCAGCAACUGGGUCGGAUUCACCAUUCCAAAGAGGAGGGCUACACUUGCUGAACUUCUCGAAGUAGUAUGCCGAAUCCCGAACGGGCGGAGCCGAUAACGCUCCCCCGGGAAUAGCUGCGAGGCGCUCAUCCAGAAGAGCUUUGACCUGGUUGAUUAUGUCAUUGGUCACGCCCGGGAUUAAUUCAUUGAAAGCGUUAUUGAAUUCCUCAGCGACAAUAUUCCUAACUUGCUCCAUUUGGAGCUGAUUAAGGCGAGCAGGCGGAGCCAUCUGUAUCCGUAGAAGGAGGAAAAUAUUUAGAAAUAAUUCAGCCUAGAUAUUUCUAGGAAGACGAAACACUCAGCUUGCCGAAAAUUUCUCAACCUUGCCCCGACCCGAAACCGGCACCGAUGUUUCAAAUAGUAGGGGCCCUUCUACUAUCUUCCACACAAGUUCCAAUUUCGCAAUCGCGUCUAGUUUCAAAAUUUCCAGCUCGCUCUAGCCGUUAAUUUUACAUCUCUCUCACAUGUUAACAUUAAAUAAGUGUGUAAUCUAGCAUUUUAAGACUAGUAGAAUCCAAUUCAUAGUCAACAAUUUAACAUAAACAUUUAACAUAAGAAAUAAGGCUUACUUGGCUGGCCGACUGGCACACCGCGACAUCUUUCACUACUAGUCUUCAGAAAAUUUGAAAAAUCUUUUAAAAAGAGAAUAAACUAUUAUAGAGCCUCAAAUUUGAGUCUAGAACAUCCACAAGAAUGCCUAGUUCCCUCAAACUGUGGCUCUGAUACCAACUUGUGACACCCAAUUUUUUUUUUUUUUUUUUGCAACAAUUUUAAACUUUUAAAACCCAUCUUAAAUUAAAUUAAAACAACUGAAAUAGUCAUAACAUAAUCCAUCAACUUAAUAACCAUAUAAAAUAAGUGCGGAAGUAAUAAUAAUAAUAAGGUCCCAACAAAAUAACUAGUAGCGAUGUCCCGAUGCUCCAUGUCAAGCCUUAGCCUCUUUAAUCUUAACACCUGAAAAGUUAUAAGGGAAAAACGUAAGCACGAAGCUUAGUGAAUUCAAACACAGACAUUGUACUAACAUUCAUAUUUACUAGCCCUAAUCCAUUUUCCAAUUAUAAUGAUAAAGGCAAAGAACGAAUCAAUGUCUAUAUUACGAGAAGGACUUGUAGGUUUGAACCGCACCGGGAAGAUCCCGUAUCAUUUGGCCCUAAUCACCGCACCUCACGAAGAGUAUUACGUUGGUGAUCUUACCUACCCACCGCACCGGUAAAUCCGUAUCCUUUGGUGGUGUCCCCAUAUCCAUAAUUAGUUACAUACAGUGCACAUGUACGAAUUAAAACAAUACUUAUAUAGCAUGCUUUUAUAAUAAAUUCAAAUAAUCACACACGAGCUAACUAGCAAACACAAUCAUCAAUACAACGGUGUGAGAGAACUCACCUUGAGUGAGUAUUAAGGAUGGCUAACAAUCAAAUAAUGCUACCAAGCUUGAGCAAACUUCAAAACCUCACCUAAGAAGGACUAAAGGUUAGAAAGGAGAAGUAACGAAGCUAUGAGUUGAGAAAAGAGUAAUCACAGCAAGGUCUCUAAAACAGACCUGCUGUUCAAAACGGAUUUACUCCAAAAUCUAAAACAGAAACAUAGCUUUAACUAAAUUUUAUAGGAAACUAUGAUUGCUCAGGAUUCCACAACUAUAAAGAACUCAUUCUAACUCCAAAAGAUGAAUUAAAUAUGAAUUUUACAAAAUGGUGUAUCACUUCUGUCUCCAAC
rnacentral:lncRNA from 1 species